rnacentral:rRNA from 1 species
ACACGUGGGUAACCUGCCUUAUAGUGGGGGAUAGCCUUUCGAAAGGAAGAUUAAUACCGCAUAAGAUUGUAGUAUCGCAUGAUAUAGCAAUUAAAGGAGCAAUUCGCUAUAAGAUGGACCCGCGUCGCAUUAGCUAGUUGGUGAGGUAAUGGCUCACCAAGGCGACGAUGCGUAACCGACCUGAGAGGGUGAUCGGCCACAUUGGGACUGAGACACGGCCCAGACUCCUACGGGAGGCAGCAUG